GCCUUUGUAGUUUGAUAGCACACUCGGCUCGUAUUCGAGAGGUCCAGGUUCAAGUCUCGGCGAGGGCA
rnacentral:tRNA from 1 species